AAGAAGCUUUCAAACCAAUAAAUCAUCGAAGCAGGGCUAACUGACAGGGAACAUUCUGGAACACAAAGGGAAUGGUAACAGUAAUUGACAGGAGCAUGGGGCAGGGUGACCAGGAUUGGCUGGGACACCUAGGGGAAUAAGGGGAGGAGCAAGGAGACUGACACAGUGAGGAACAGACAAGUGGCGAGAAAACUCUGAGGUUGUGGCUGCAAGGGAGGCAGAUGCCAUGAAGAAGGAAUUCACCUUAUAAGAAUACCAGUGGUGGUCUUGCACAGGUAUCGAGCAUUCAGACAGAGUCCUGCAGCUUUGCACACUCAAACAAAGUUUCCACACAAAUUUUAUUCAAAAAACACUCUACAGCAGAACUGAGGAUAUUUUCUGGUCCAGGAUGGAAAUUGAAGCAAAGAGAAGGGAGGCAGCCUUGCAAUGGAGGUAAGACUACCCUAUUAAUUAUCUCACUUGCACUAAGCUUCUGAAAAUUCAUAUGCAACCUGAAAGAAAGUUAAAAUAGCCUGUCACUAUUUCAGAGGGGAAAGAAAAUUUUUUCUGUAUUAUGCUGACUAGCUGCAGCUGGCAGAGGUCAAAGACAGCAUAGCCAUGAUACUGUUGCUCUCUUCUGAAUCUGGAAUGAAAUCUGAUGUAUUCAUGGCAAUGCAGUCAACAGUGAAAUUACUUCCAGUUAGCUUGCUGCUAUUUCUGCUAAUCUCAGCUAGAGUUUAGCUGGCUGUUUGCUCCUGAAGAAUCGGUGUAAAGAGGGGAAGAUAAUACACUGAUGAAAAUUACUGUUUCUGUUCAACAUCUUAUACUCAAUAGUAUUUGCUGGACUCCUCUAAAUAUAGCAGUACAUGUUUGGAGGUAGAUGCUGCACACAGUUCAGAUUCACGGUGCUGUGUGGGACCAGUGACCUUCCCUUGCCUUGUGUGCAAAAUCACUCCCGCAGUCUUCCUCAUCAUGAGCUUCAUCAGUUUCUUCUUUAAUACUGAAACAAAAUUGUAACAGGGAAUUAAUUUCCACUGUCUAUGCUCUUCUUUUUCAUUCAAGUGUUUUUCAAUUUUAAGCACACAACUAAAUUCGGACUCAGACAGACUUGUAAUUAAAAUGACUGAAGGUCCAAGGAUGAAUCAGAUGUUUACUGAUGAAAAUUUCCACCAAAAAUGCCAAUUAACUGAACUAGAUAGCUUCCCUAAAAACAUCCCAGCUUGAUCCUUCUGCUGGCUCCAGAAACAGAUUUGGUGUUCCUAACAGCUCCUGUGAGGAAACCUGGAGCAGUGUAGGUGUCCCCAUACAGCUGCCAGGCUCAAGCCCUGCAGCAGGGGCUGCUGGCCUGCCCAUCCCCACCGAUGGUUGCUGCAUGUGUCCAGCAGCAACUCCCAGCUUUGCCCCAGAGCCACAGGUGAAUUCCAGAGCCCCUGUCCAUGGCAAAGCUGUCAGUGACAGUCAUUCCAAUGGCAGAUUGUAGGAGUGUGUCCCCUAAUGACAAGAGUGGCAAAGCUAGCCUUUGUCCCCCCAAAAAGGAAAGAAGCCCAGAACUUUCUCUCAGCGAUUAGGUGAAAAGCCACCUCAUAGGACCUCAGAGACUUCACCAAAAACUCGAGGUCAUCUAAUUGGAUAGAAGCCAAAAAGUCCCGCCUGGCCCAUGAGGUAGAAAAGAAGAGAACAAAAGAACUGAAGUGCUUUUGUGAGGUGUUUAUAUCAGGAGCAGACCUCUGCACCUGGCUCGAGUUUUUCUGUUUGUUAUUUUGUCUUGUAUUAAAUGUCUUUUGUUUCUAACACUGCAGCAGAAGCCAUCCUGCUUAUUAUAUGCCCCCAAAGUAAUAGCUGAGCUAUCCUUGGGUGUGUUAGGUUUUCUUUUGAGGGCUUAUGAGAACUGGCCCAAGAAAAAGAAACCUAACAGCAGGCUUCUGGGUUGAAGGAGCCUCUGCUUCAUGUGAAAUUUCAGAGGGUCAGAGAAAGAUUUUCUUUCCAAAUACGUAAAACAGCUACAAAUCCAUAAAGCUGCACACCUGGUUUCAGGGCAGCUCUAGUAUUCUUCCAAGGUAUGAAAACCACUGUCUGUAUCAGCCAUAAGCUUUGAUUAAGAGACUAAGGGGAAUCUCCUAUCCACACAAAAAUCCUAACAGUCCCAAUCCUGCAGUUUAUAAUGCUCAGGCAGACUACUGUGCUCAAGGGGAGCACUAUUAAGUUUAAUGUGGAUUCCAGCUAUGCAUUUUAAAUUGCCAGAUCAGAGGCUGAAAUUAUAUGCACACAGGGGCAGAUGUUACCUACUGCAUCUUCUACAGUGUGGAGCAUGUAGUGAGCAUUUAACAAAGGAUAAAAAAAAAUCAUAGUUAUAACAACUAUAGCAAUACCAAUAGUUAUUAUGACAAAAAUAAUAGAUAAUGCUAUCUACCAUAUUCAGCUUGAAUUUUCUUUUGAUGCCUUAAGUUUUAGCUUUUGUAUUUUUCAGAUUCUGUGCUGCUUUAGUGUGUAAUUCUGAGCUUCAUAUUAAGUGUUGGUAAGCUUUCUUCACAGUGUAGGCAGACAAAACAAUUCCUUCUCCAGCUGGGGACCCAAGGACAGCCGAUACAGAUCUCAGGCCCAAGAGCAUAAACAACUGCAGAAUGAAGAGAAAAAAACAAGAAGAAUGUGACUUCACAACCUAAAGUUAUAAUUGGACAAUUAACUCCAGUAUGCAAAUGGACCAGAACUUGUAAAAGUGAGAAACACCAUGACUGGUCAUGCAUUUUGUGAUCAUUUUGGGUACAUCUUGUGUGUAGCCCUGGCCGGGCUCUUGUACUGCCCAAGGUGCAUCCUUGAGGCCUUCUAAUAAAUACCUGCUUUAUUCUUUAACUCUGUCUAGCCUCUGUUCCAGGUCAGCCUUCUCAAGGCAUCACUUUGAGUAAAAAUACAUACCAAUUUUUAUUGGAAUAAACUAAGAUUUGUGACACGCUAUGCAGCAAGAUGAGCCAGUUUAAGAAAUUUCCUCCCAGAAUAUUGAAUUAUGUUGCUGAAUAGAAAACAUCUUUAUACAGAGUUGUUCAAAUAAGAAACUUUUCAUACCUUGUGCAGCUUUCAAAUUUCAGAUCAUAGACUAAUGAUGGAACUUUUUCAGGGCUGGAGGGAGUCAGCUCGGAUUCAGCAGACUCAUGGCUCUCUCCUCAGCACCUAGGCCUGGUCCAUUCACCCUCCCCAAGGCCUCUGGAUCGCCCUUCCCCAAACUCCUGAGCAUUUCUUCUAUGCAUUCACUGGACCUACAGAAGUAUCCAGAUGGCUAAUGCUCUUCUCAGAGGAAUGCAACCAGCCCCACCAACCCCACACUGCCAGUUUGCUUAAUCCUCCUGCUCCUAGAUGAUACUUCUGUGCUUGCAUGUGAAGACAGCUCAAGGAAAAUCUUGAGAUGAAAUGGAAGCAGAAGCACAGUAAAAUAGAAAGAAAUGAGACUGGGCUACCAUGAUCAGCUCAUGGACCUAGCACAUGUUCCCAGCAGCCAGUCAUCCCUUUAAGGUAGCAGUCAUCAGCUCAAAACAAAAUCUGUUUGCUCUCCAGAGUGCCAGGAUCUCUCUGCUGAAAGCUUGUGGUCCAAGACACAGUGAAGGACUGUGUAGACAUGAAGAAGGAUACAGCCUCUGCUUGUGAGAUUUGGUAAAUAUGACAAUCCCAGAGGAAGGAGGAUGAGUGUGAUAAAAAGCAUGUGAAGACAAAGGGUCUGAGAUAACAUUUCAAAGAGAAGUUUUACUCAAAUCCAUGGUGAUAUUCCUUCAAAUCUUCCCCUAUGAUUCACAUAGCAUGAUGACCUUUAAACACAGCUUCCUUAUUGUGGAAUACCAUGUUUUUAUAGCUUGGAUUUUUGCUGAACCAAAUUAAUGAAAAUGUUGCACUGCAGAAUACCUGGAAACAGCACGGGAGAAUUUUCAUUUUCUCAGCAUUUCAUUUCUAGUAAAAUUGGUGUGGUUGCACCAUUCUGCAGCAGUGAUUUGCAAAGGAAGUGGUGAGGCUAAAUGUACUGAAAAUCUGACACGUUCCCUGAGCAACAAAGGAACUCAAAGCAAAUGUUACAGUAUUACUGACAACAUCAGUAGUGCUUGUUUAAGUAUUAGCUUCAUAAACAUUAAAAUGGAGUAUUAAAAAAGAAAAAAAUCACACAGGCCGCUCUGCCUGGAUCAGAUUUCUUGUGCUGUUUCUCUCUAUUCUCUCUUAAAAUAAAAGCUUGUCUGCAACAGCUGUUUAUGAACCUUGGUGUUCUCUUCAGUGGUGCCUCCUGCCAGAUGCCCUUGAAGGUUUUCUCCUUGACAUGAGGGAGAUUUUUAUUAUUACUUGCCUUCCAAUAUCACCUCCUGCCCUGAGAACUGCACAAUGAACAAACCAUAGGGAACUUUCUGACCUGAAGACAGUCUAUGCUGUCCUGCAGCACUGCAGAAAAGGCACAUUAUUGGCAGGUGAGAUUGUUGGGUUUGUUCAUUCAUGAGAGUUUGUGUGGUGUUGCAUUUUUUCCAAUUCACUGGCAAGCUCAGGCUAAGUGAUCUGAAGUCCCAUGGCCAGAGAGACUGGAUAUACUGUUUGCCUAGGGUUGGAUAGCCUGGAAGGGACCUCAGAUACUGCGAGAGAGACCGGACUGCUGGUGCUAAUGGUUCAAACAACAGGCUGGGUGCUUUUCUAGUGAUGCACAGAGUGUCCUCCCAGGUGCAGAAGGGCCUGACAAACUAGAUUUCCAGAUAAGGGAAAAGCCGGAUAAGAGGCAAAUCCUUCCAGGUGAGAUAAAUCCUUCCUAUCAUGCCAAUGUCCUGAUGACCCAGCUGUGAAAACUCCCCUCCCAAGUACUGGGACAUUCACUGGAAGGAUGAAGGAUUCACGUUGGCUGAUGGGCCAUGAUUGAUUCAACUACACUAACUUCAGAGACAGCAGCAGCAUCUAGGAAGAUAUAAAAGUUGUAGGAAGUGCCCAGUGAUCCAGUGUUACCUCAUUCAGGGGAGAUACCAGGGGCAUAAUAAACCCCAUGGACAUGGUGUUUUGCAGACUUUUUCCCUCACCACUUGAUGGAUGCCAUCUACAACCACCAUCCCCACAAGACUGCAAUCGCUGAGAAGACUGGAAGAGGACCAACAGGAUAUUGUUGGAAUACUGAGAAAUGCUUCUCUCAAUCUGUAUCUUUACGUGAAUCAUGUAGAAGUGGAAGUCCAACUGAGGCUUUGGCAGAAAGGAAGGGUUGCUUCAAGUGCUGUACAUCAUCCUGACGCACUUAAUCUGUGUUUGUCUUCUGACCUGUUAAAAGCUGAUGAUUCUUAUCUGUGCUGCUGCUUCCUAUUUCAUUCCCCCGCACCCUCACAACACUGCAGUUCAUUUUUUCAGUCAAUGUGUAGAGAUCUUAAUUUAUCCUCAUUGGGUCACAGCCUAUUUUUUUCAGUCCAUUUAAACUUAUUUAGAGCUCAUUUCCAUUGAGAUCAUUUUGAAUGCCACCCCUGUUAUCUAAAAUAUUUUCAAUUCUUCCCAGCUUAGACUUAUAUGAAAAUAUGUCAGGCAUCCUCUCUCAUUUUUCAACCAAGUCUUCACUGAAUGGUAGGCAACACAAUAUAUAUACUAAUGCCCUUCAAUAUGUGUGACCAAGCUGGAUGUGAACUAGUGAUUGCUAUCCCCUGUGGUUGGUUUUCUCCCUGUAUCAUGGGUUUUAGUUGUUUUUCUUGCACAGCAUAGCACUAGUCUGUCUACGAGCAUGCCAUGGGGACAGUGCAAAUGAACACACUAAAGCGGAGAUAUCACAUCUCUGCUUUAUCCCUUUACCACAAAGCUAUUUACACUGUCACUGAAGGAACUUAGGCUGGUCUGACAUGAUCUAUUCUUGGCAAAUCCAUGUUGCCAGUUACUUACCACUUUAUGAACUUCCUGGCAUUGUCCCAGAAUGUGUACGUUAGCAAACUGCUGACAGCACAAUUUGGUUGUAUCUCAGUGGCAGUAAGUCAAGAGAGGAUCUCCAGUGCCCUUCUGUUUUUCUGUAUUUGUCAUCUCUUUAAAAAAGCCCCAUGACUGCACUCCCUCCCCUCUAUUCAAGAAAAGCAGACAAAGCAAUGUGGCCAAAAGUUUUUGUGUGACUCCUCGCCUCUCUUAGCUGAAUGUGCUCACCCACACAUGGGUCACUUGUACCACUAAGGACAUUGCUACUAAGAACAUUCUAUGUGGAGACACCUUUCUGUGCCACUGCUACAGAAGAAUUGCAGCUACACUCUGAUAUUUUAUAAGGUUAAUAGCUUGACUGACAACUUCAUUUCAUGUUGGUGGCACUGAACCAGCUGUGCAAACUUUUUUCUGGCGGUUUGGGGAUAAAGAUGGGAAAAAAGGAACAUGAGGAGAAAGGACAAGAAAAUAAAAUGUUAAGCCACAGGAAUGUGCAAAACACUUGGGUAAUAUGUGUCAUUAACAGAGAUAUCAAAAAUGCCUAUGGAGGGCACAUAGAAGACAAAAAUGGCCAAAUCUGUGUGUGAUUUGUAGAAGUGCAGUGAACACACCCAUAACUCAUACUCAUGUUCAUUUCUUUGUUAAUUUUAAAAAUGUUGUACCCAAAUGUCUGGCUUUUGUCUUUCUGAAGAAAGGAAACAAUACUCCACCUCAAUCCAUGUGGUCUUGUGCUUUAACACGAAGGGCAGACAAACCAAAGUGGGUCUGGAGAUGCUUGGAUCUGUCUUCUCCAUUAAACAGAGUUCUAAUCCCAUCAGAAUAAAUGCCAACAUGUGAACAGUGGAUUCUAUUUAUGCUGCUUCUAGUCAAAAGCCAUGGGCACAGCUUGUGGGGUUCUGAGCUUCUCAGGUGCAUCUUGUUUUUGCCCAACUGAGCGCAGUACCAGAGCCACUGUGGAUACCAGGACACCAACAAGAAUAAAAUCAGUACGGCCUUCUCCCCACUGUUAUUCCCCUCUGUAA